rnacentral:rRNA from 1 species
AGAGUUUGAUCCUGGCUCAGGAUGAACGCUAGCUACAGGCUUAACACAUGCAAGUCGAGGGGAAACGACAUCGAAAGCUUGCUUUUGAUGGGCGUCGACCGGCGCACGGGUGAGUAACGCGUAUCCAACCUGCCCACCACUUGGGGAUAACCUUGCGAAAGUAAGACUAAUACCCAAUGACGUCUCUAGAAGACAUCUGAAAGAGAUUAAAGAUUUAUCGGUGAUGGAUGGGGAUGCGUCUGAUUAGCUUGUUGGCGGGGUAACGGCCCACCAAGGCGACGAUCAGUAGGGGUUCUGAGAGGAAGGUCCCCCACAUUGGAACUGAGACACGGUCCAAACUCCUACGGGAGGCAGCAGUGAGGAAUAUUGGUCAAUGGGCGAGAGCCUGAACCAGCCAAGUAGCGUGCAGGAUGACGGCCCUAUGGGUUGUAAACUGCUUUUAUAAGGGAAUAAAGUGAGUCUCGUGAGACUUUUUGCAUGUACCUUAUGAAUAAGGACCGGCUAAUUCCGUGCCAGCAGCCGCGGUAAUACGGAAGGUCCGGGCGUUAUCCGGAUUUAUUGGGUUUAAAGGGAGCGUAGGCCGGAGAUUAAGCGUGUUGUGAAAUGUAGUGGCUCAACCUCUGCACUGCAGCGCGAACUGGUCUUCUUGAGUACGCACAACGUGGGCGGAAUUCGUGGUGUAGCGGUGAAAUGCUUAGAUAUCACGAAGAACUCCGAUUGCGAAGGCAGCUCACGGGAGCGCAACUGACGCUGAAGCUCGAAAGUGCGGGUAUCGAACAGGAUUAGAUACCCUGGUAGUCCGCACGGUAAACGAUGGAUGCCCGCUGUUGGCCUGAAUAGGUCAGCGGCCAAGCGAAAGCAUUAAGCAUCCCACCUGGGGAGUACGCCGGCAACG